rnacentral:rRNA from 1 species
CAAACCAAAGCUGGCGACCGGCGCACGGGUGAGUAACACGUAUCCAACCUGCCUCAUACUCGGGGAUAGCCUUUCGAAAGAAAGAUUAAUACCCGAUGGCAUAGUUCUUCCGCAUGGUGGAACUAUUAAAGAAUUUCGGUCAUCGAUGGGGAUGCGUUCCAUUAGGUUGUUGGCGGGGUAACGGCCCACCAAGCCUUCGAUGGAUAGGGGUUCUGAGAGGAAGGUCCCCCACAUUGGAACUGAGACACGGUCCAAACUCCUACGGGAGGCAGCAUG